ensembl:snRNA U6 U6 spliceosomal RNA
GUGCUGGUUUCGGCAGCACGCAUACUAAAAUUGGAACCAUACAGAGAAGAGUGGCAUGUUCCCUGUGCAAGGAGGACACUCAAACCCAUAAGGCAUUCCACAUUAAA